rnacentral:rRNA from 1 species
GAGUUUGAUCCUGGCUCAGAACGAACGCUGGCGGCGUGCUUAACACAUGCAAGUCGAACGUGAUUGAGAGCUUGCUCUCAUGAAAGUGGCGCACGGGUGAGUAACACGUGGAUAAUCUGCCUGGCGAUUCGGGAUAACACUUCGAAAGGGGUGCUAAUACCGGAUAAGCCCACGGUCUCUUCGGAGAGUGCGGGAAAAGGGGGCCUCYGUAUAUGCUCCUGUCGCUAGAUGAGUCUGCGUACCAUUAGUUAGUUGGUAGGGUAAAGGCCUACCAAGGCUACGAUGGUUAGCUGGUCUGAGAGGAUGAUCAGCCACACUGGAACCGAGACACGGUCCAGACUCCUACGGGAGGCAGCAGUGGGGAAUUUUGCGCAAUGGGCGAAAGCCUGACGCAGCAACGCCGCGUGAGUGAUGAAGGCUUUCGGGUCGUAAAGCUCUGUCGAGGGGAAAGAAGUGUAUUAGGGCUAAUAUCCCUGAUACUUGACGGUACCCCUAAAGGAAGCACCGGCUAACUCCGUGCCAGCAGCCGCGGUAAUAC